AAGUCGUAACAAGGUUUCCGUAGGUGAACCUGCGGAAGGAUCAUUGACAAAUCUAAAACAUAUUGUUGCUUGGAGGGGGGGAGAGAGCUUUGCUGCUUUCUUUCUCUCUCUUCAAGUAUACAAACAUUCUAACCUGUGAAUUGGCAGUACGCAAGUACUGCUUUAUUGGUUGUGUGUGGCACAUUAUGUGUGUACUCUGCUUCCAUUAAACAUUUACGUAAACAAUUGUCUUAACAAAAAACAAAAACAAAAUACAACUUUUAGCAAUGGAUCUCUUGGCUUCU
rnacentral:misc_RNA from 1 species